AUCUGUUUGAUGUAAGCUCUUUUCUCAUUAUCACACAAGUAAACGACGACAAAAGAAACAUCGUCAUCUCCGUACCGCUUCGUCUUCUCCGAUUAGAUUCCAUAGAAACUGAUCCCCCUCUACACAAUCAAUCCCAUCCUUUAGUUCGAGCAAUUAAUUUCGUCUUGAUGAUUUCGUUCCAGCUCCCUUUGUUCCUCCUUCUUUAUAUACCGAUCUAUUUUCAAGAACGAAUUGUAAUCGUUGUUUGAAAAAAAAAAUCAUUGGGAAAGCCUUCCUCAAUUUUUGGUUGUGGUGAAGCCUUUUUAGUGAAAAGUUUGCACUGUUUUCCAAUUUAUAUUUUGUCACUUAAAGAAUUAUGGCCUCCAAUCUCCCGGCCCUCGAUUGGAACAUGUUCAUGGCGAUGUACAUGACCAUUUGCAAGCCCUCACGAAUGGUUUCCAGAGGUUGGAGUUACUAUACAACAAUUUCUCGAACAAAAAACAGCUCACUGGAGUAGAAGAAUGCGGAUACUAAAUGCCAGUGUAGCCACAGGUAAUCUCCACUGGAAAAUAGUCAUGUUUACAUCAACAAGAUGAAUCAGUGAUGAUAAUGAAGUUAUGGGAUCCACAUUCGUCUUUUACUCGAGCAUCCUCUUUGAGAAACGCCAAAUGAAAGACUGUAAAAGGUAUGUCUUGGCUUUGUCAUCUAGGCAUUUAGUGUUAGUUUAUUUUGUGAUAACGAGAUUUUUUGUUAGGAUCAUCUAUAUAAUGUACACACAUGUUGGUGACUAAGUUUGCAACAUCUUAGGAACAAUGAAAUAGCCGGUGAGGAGAUUCGUUUAUGAAAAUUUGAUUCUCACUUAAUGUAUGUUCCCCAUGAUUAUAGAUAAAUAAGCGACAUUAAUGAGCUCUCAAGUAUCUUAUAGAUUUCCAGUGGAAAAAGGUUGAAGAACCAAAAGAGUUCACACUUGAGCUGUUCUUUGAGGCUUAUUGCACUGAAGAACAAUGAGAUUGCCGGUCUGGAGGUUCGUUAUUAGGAUAUGUUCUUAAAGAAAAUGUUACUCUCUUUCUAGAUGGAUUUCCAAUGAUUAUACUAAAUAUAAGCAAGAUGAAUGAACUCGCAAGUAUCUCAAAGAUAUCAAAUUGAAUAGGUUUAAGAACCAAAAAGAUUCACGCUUGAUCUUUUCUUUGAUUAGAACCCUUACUACCAUAACACUGUCUUCACCAAGACAUCUCACAUGAUU